GACGAACCGUGCGAACGUUAUUCGGAAUCACUGGGCUUAAAGCGCGUGUAGGCGGCCCGGCACGUCGGACGCUGAAAUCCCCCGGCUCAACCGGGGAACGGGCGCCGAUACGACCGGGCUGGAGGGGGGUAGGGGGCGCCGGAACUUCCGGUGGAGCGGUGAAGUGCGUUGAGAUCGGAAGGAACGCCCGUGGCGAAAGCGGGCGCCUGGACCCCACCUGACGCUGAGACGCGAAAGCCAGGGGAGCGAACGGG
rnacentral:rRNA from 1 species